CCUACGGGAGGCAGCAGUGGGGAAUAUUGCACAAUGGGGGAAACCCUGAUGCAGCGACGCCGCGUGAGCGAUGAAGUAUUUCGGUAUGUAAAGCUCUAUCAGCAGGGAAGAAAAUGACGGUACCUGACUAAGAAUCCCCGGCUAACAACUUUCCAGCAGCCGCGGUAAUACGUAGGGGGCAAGCGUUAUCCGGAUUUACUGGGUGUAAAGGGAGCGUAGACGGUCCUGCAAGCCAGAUGUGAAACCCCGAGGCUCAACCCCGGGACUGCAUUUGGAACUGUAAGGCUAGAGAGUAGGAGAGGCAGGCGGAAUGCAUAGUGUAGCGGUGAAAUGCGUAGAGAUUAGGCGGAACACCAGUGGCGAAGGCGGCCUGCUGGACGAUGACUGACGUUGAGGCUCGAAAGCGUGGGGAGCAAACAGGAUUAGAUACCCGUGUAGUC
rnacentral:rRNA from 1 species